UACGUAGGGUGCAAGCGUUGUCCGGAAUUAUUGGGCGUAAAGAGCGUGUAGGCGGCUAGAUAGGUCCGUUGUGAAAACUCGAGGCUCAACCUCGAGACGCCGGUGGAAACCAUCUAGCUAGAGUCCGGAAGAGGAGAGUGGAAUUCCUGGUGUAGCGGUGAAAUGCGCAGAUAUCAGGAAGAACACCCGUGGCGAAGGCGGCUCUCUGGGACGUGACUGACGCUGAGACGCGAAAGCGUGGGGAGCGAACAGG
rnacentral:rRNA from 1 species